CCUACGGGAGGCUGCAGUGGGGAAUAUUGGACAAUGGGGGGAACCCUGAUCCAGCCAUGCCGCGUGUGUGAAGAAGGCCCUCGGGUUGUAAAGCACUUUCAGUGAGGAAGAACGCCUGGUGGUUAAUACCCAUCAGGAAAGACAUCACUCACAGAAGAAGCACCGGCUAACUCCGUGCCAGCAGCCGCGGUAAUACGGAGGGUGCGAGCGUUAAUCGGAAUUACUGGGCGUAAAGCGCGCGUAGGUGGCUUGAUAAGCCGGUUGUGAAAGCCCCGGGCUCAACCUGGGAACGGCAUCCGGAACUGUCAAGCUAGAGUGCAGGAGGGGAAGGUAGAAUUCCCGGUGUAGCGGUGAAAUGCGUAGAGAUCGGGAGGAAUACCAGUGGCGAAGGCGGCCUUCUGGACUGACACUGACGCUGAGGUGCGAAGGCGUGGGUAGCGAACGGGAUUAGAUACCCUGGUAGUC
rnacentral:rRNA from 1 species